rnacentral:rRNA from 1 species
AUUGAACGCUGGCGGCAGGCCUAACACAUGCAAGUCGAGCGGAUGAGUGGAGCUUGCUCCAUGAUUCAGCGGCGGACGGGUGAGUAAUGCCUAGGAAUCUGCCUGGUAGUGGGGGACAACGUUUCGACAGGAACGCUAAUACCGCAUACGUCCUACGGGAGAAAGCAGGGGACCUUCGGUCCUUGCGCUAUCAGCUGAGCCUAGGUCGGAUUAGCUAGUAGGUGAGGUAAUGGCUCACCUACGCGCAGAUCCGUAACUGGUCUGAGUGGAUGAUCAGUCACACUGGAACUGAGACACGGUCCAGACUCCUACGGGAUGCAGCAGUGGGGAAUAUUGGACAAUGGGCGAAAGCCUGAUCCAGCCAUGCCGCGUGUGUGAAGAAGGUCUUCGGAUUGUAAAGCACUUUAAGUUGGGAGGAAGGGCAGUAAGUUAAUACCUUGCUGUUUUGACGUUACCAACAGAAUAAGCACCGGCUAACUUCGUGCCAGCAGCCGCCGUAAAAC